AAUCUUCAUCAUCUUUAAAUAAAAAGGAUAAACAUUAUGGAUUUCCAUUAUCUCAAGCAAAAACAAAGAGUUCAAAAUAUUGGUGGUAAGAACUGUCAAAACUUGAGAUAGCUAUGAUGAAGAGUUUUAUGACAAAUUCACUCAUGGCCAAAUCUAAUAUGGCAGCUGGAAAAGGCAAAGAAUCUUUUUAGUCUAACCAAGCUAUACAACUUA